GCAUUUUGACCUGUGAACUGAUAGUUCAUCGAGCAUGUUUUAUUAUUUUGUGGAGUCUCCAGAAAAUUCUUCCGAAAAGCCUCUUGUUUUACGGUUGAAUGGAGGACCAGGCUGCUUAUCGUUUGGAUAUGGAGCCAUGCAAGAACUCGGACCUUUCAGUGUAAACAGCGAUGG